rnacentral:rRNA from 1 species
GACGAACCGAGCGAACGUUGUUCGGAAUCACUGGGCUUAAAGGGCUCGUAGGCGGCCGCUUAAGUCAGACGUGAAAUCCCUCGGCUCAACCGGGGCACUGCGUCUGAGACUGAAUGGCUUGAAUCCGGGAGAGGGAUGCGGAAUUCCAGGUGUAGCGGUGAAAUGCGUAGAUAUCUGGAGGAACACCGGUGGCGAAGGCGGCAUCCUGGACCGGUAUUGACGCUGAGGAGCGAAAGCCAGGGGAGCAAACGGG